UUCGCCUUGCUCUAUUCUCUGAGCCAUUGCUUUUGACCCCAAGUUGCUUUGCUCUUUACAUCUUUUAAAAUGUGUAUAAGAUAGUAAGAACAAAAAUAAAUGGCGUGUUUAGGCCGGUGUUUAAACAAUGCAUUUCACUUCUCACGCCGAGAUGAAAAUUGAAAAAUGCAGUAAUCCAUUUAAAAAGAAACAGGGGGGAGUGACCAGACUCAGAAUUGAGCCUCUGUGGUAAUAACUAUGGUUGUUCACGAUAAAAACGAUAAAUAAUAUAUUGAAUUUCGAUUUCGGAUACUGUUCCUUUAGCAACUUGAUAAGAAGAAUGUUUUAAAGAUGUAAAAUAUUCUUUACAACUUUAUUAAAAGGAUAUAACUGUGUAUUUCUUGCGCUGACCGUAUUUCAAGUAACCAGAGCAAUGUUCGUUCUUGCAAUUUGCAUACUGCUCUUUUCUUGUGUCAUUUCAACUGAGGAUAGCGCCUCACUGUCAAAUGAUUGUAACGAUGCAACCGUAGGAGAUUGUGGGUGUUCAAAAACCUCUCGAGCUGAUAGCAUAGUUAAAAAGUCAGAAAAACUGGACAAUCCUGAAAAGAAUAAGUGGACAGAACCAAACGUUUUCCAUAGCAACCCAGAACAUAUUCAUGGCCUUAAGUAUAGUUCAAUGGUACUUUUAAAAGGUGAGACAUUUCUGAUGGGAACUGAUAACCCAAAAAUUGUAUCUGAUGGUGAGGGUCCAGCAAGAGCUGUUAAGCUGGGUGCAUUUCAUAUGGAUCAAUAUGAAGUUAGCAAUCAUGAUUUUGGAAUUUUUGUUAAUAAGACUGGUUAUGUCACUGAGGCAGAAAAGUUUGGCACCUCAUUUGUCCUUGAAAGCAAACUGAAUGAAGACAUAAAAAGAAGAAUUACCCAAGCAGUUGCUGGUUCUCCUUGGUGGCUACCAGUUGAAGGAGCAAAUUGGAAACAUCCAGAAGGUCUGGGAUCUAGUAUCAUGUCAAGAUUAGAUCAUCCUGUUCUACAUGUGUCAUGGAAUGAUGCAAUGGCAUAUUGUACAUGGCUUGGUAAACGACUCCCUACUGAAGCAGAAUGGGAAUUUGCUUGUCGUGGUGGAUUGCAGAAAAAGAUGUUUCCCUGGGGAAACACUUUCAAAGUGAAAGGAAAACAUCAAUGUAAUACUUGGCAAGGUGAUUUUCCAAGCAGUGACAAGGGUGAGGAUGGUCAUGAUGGACCAGCACCUGUGUGGACAUUCAAACAGAAUAAUUUUGAUCUUCAUAAUAUGGUUGGUAACGUUUGGGAGUGGACAGCUGAUUGGUGGGGCAUCAGACACACCAAAGAAUUCUACGAAAAUCCUGUUGGCCCUAGUUUCGGUAAAGACAAAGUAAAGAAAGGAGGAUCUUACAUGUGUCAUAAGUCAUUCUGCUACAGAUACAGAUGUGCUGCCAGAGGUAAAAACACACCAGAUAGCUCCGCAUCAAACCUUGGUUUUCGUUGUGCAAAGGAUUCAUAACCUGUUAUUAGAUCUCCACUGAAUAAAACCUAUUGAUUGAAAAGAUUAGUUAAUGGAGGAUAGUUUUAGGGAGCAGUGGAAUCAUACCAAUGGUGCCAACUAAUUAGCCCAGCCAGCAUGUUGUCCAAAGAGCUCACGAAAAUGAUCACCUGGAGCAGAUAAAUUUAAAUAAUCUGGUCAAAAAAAGUAUUAGCUGGCAAUACAAAUAUAUAUAUAAUGCUGGCAAUAUAUAUGUAUAUAUAUGUAGCUCAUCAAUUCAUUGGUAACUAUUAAGACAUGUCAACAUUACCUGCAGAGCUACCGUAACAAAGUACUUCAGUAAAAAUUCAUGCCAAUUACAAAAAUGAUUUUAUUCCAACAACUUACCGAUGGCUUUGUAAGCUUUGUUUGUCAAAGUUUUGCUCUUUUUUAACUCUGAGAUAUUAUAAUCUCUGCAUGAUAUCUGC